UGGCUCAGAUUGAACGCUGGCGGCAGGCCUAACACAUGCAAGUCGAGCGGUAGCACAGAGAGCUUGCUCUCGGGUGACGAGCGGCGGACGGGUGAGUAAUGUCUGGGAAACUGCCUGAUGGAGGGGGAUAACUACUGGAAACGGUAGCUAAUACCGCAUAACGUCGCAAGACCAAAGUGGGGGACCUUCGGGCCUCAUGCCAUCAGAUGUGCCCAGAUGGGAUUAGCUAGUAGGUGGGGUAAUGGCUCACCUAGGCGACGAUCCCUAGCUGGUCUGAGAGGAUGACCAGCCACACUGGAACUGAGACACGGUCCAGACUCCUACGGGAGGCAGCAGUGGGGAAUAUUGCACAAUGGGCGCAAGCCUGAUGCAGCCAUGCCGCGUGUAUGAAGAAGGCCUUCGGGUUGUAAAGUACUUUCAGCGAGGAGGAAGGCAUUAAGGUUAAUAACCUUGGUGAUUGACGUUACUCGCAGAAGAAGCACCGGCUAACUCCGUGCCAGCAGCCGCGGUAAUA
rnacentral:rRNA from 1 species